rnacentral:rRNA from 1 species
CCUACGUGCGGCAGCAGUGAGGAAUAUUGGUCAAUGGACGAGAGUCUGAACCAGCCAAGUAGCGUGAAGGAUGACUGCCCUAUGGGUUGUAAACUUCUUUUAUAAAGGAAUAAAACGAGGCACGUGUGCCUUUUUGCAUGUACUUUAUGAAUAAGGAUCGGCUAACUCCGUGCCAGCAGCCGCGGUAAUACGGAGGAUCCGAGCGUUAUCCGGAUUUAUUGGGUUUAAAGGGAGCGUAGAUGGGUUGUUAAGUCAGUUGUGAAAGUUUGCGGCUCAACCGUAAAAUUGCAAUUGAUACUGGCAGUCUUGAGUACAGUUGAGGUAGGCGGAAUUCGUGGUGCAGCGGUGAAAUGCUUAGAUAUCACGAAGAACCCCGAUUGCGAAGGCAGCUUAAUAAACUGUGACUGACAUUGAUGCUCGAAAGUGUGGGUAUCAAACAGGAUUAGAUACCCCAGUAGUC